CAAAGAUCAGUGAGAAACAAAAGCAGGACAGUAACACAGGCGUCUUUGGAGUACUUUGGAACUCUGCAUCCAAAAAAAUUGACUGCACAACGGCCACAAGUUCCUGACAGCUACUUUCACUGUUUAUUUGAAGACCAGGACUGUAAGUGUCUUCAGAUAUUAGACACACACAAUAUAGCUGUAAUUCAGUGAUUCUCAACUGGUGUCACAUCGGGUCCCAUCUCGUGACAAGCUGCAACCCAAAUGAAAAGAGGCUAUCCCAGACGCUCUGCAGUUUG
rnacentral:lncRNA from 1 species